AUUCCGGCAUUGGGAGGCAUUGCCUGCCCAGUGACAACUGUUUAACGGCCGCGGUAUCCUGACCGUGCAAAGGUAGCAUAAUCAUUUGUUCUCUAAAUAAGGACUUGUAUGAAUGGCCGCACGAGGGUUUUACUGUCUCUUACUUCCAAUCAGUGAAAUUGACCUUCCCGUGAAGAGGCGGGAAUGCACAAAUAAGACGAGAAGACCCUAUGGAGCUUUAACUAACCAACCCAAAGAGAAUAGAUUUAACCAUUAAGGAAUAACAACAAUCUCCAUGAGUUGGUAGUUUCGGUUGGGGUGACCUCGGAGAAUAAAAAAUCCUCCGAGCGAUUUUAAAGACUAGACCCACAAGUCAAAUCACUCUAUCGCUCAUUGAUCCAAAAACUUGAUCAACGGAACAAGUUACCCUAGGGAUAACAGCGCAAUCCUAUUCAAGAGUCCAUAUCGACAAUAGGGUUUACGACCUCGAUGUUGGAUCAGGACAUCCUGAUGGUGCAACCGCUAUCAAAGGUUCGUUUGUUCAACGAUUAAAGUCCUACGUGAUCUGAGUUCAGACCGGA
rnacentral:rRNA from 1 species